rnacentral:tRNA from 1 species
UCCCAGGUGGCUCAGGGGUAAAGAAGCCACCUGCCAACGCAGGAGACACAGGUUCAAUUCCUGAUCUGGGAA